AUUUAAUUUAUACUUUUAAAUUUGAAAUAAGUUCAAAUUUUUCAGUUCUGAUUUUAGUCAAUGUUUUUCAACAUAUUAAGAAACUAAAAUCACUUCAUCCUGAGGAUAUAUGUUUUAAUAAUUAUGUAGAAUCAUGGUCAGCUAUUGAAGAAAAGGAGUUUAACUGCUGAACGAAGACAGUUAAGUCAGGAUUUUUUUGACACCAGGUGUGAUUAUUUAUUGUACUCACACAAAAUGCAUUUUUGGAAAUGUUGGCUGAAAAUGAAUUUAAAUAAAAGUAUGGAUAAGUGGCACUUGGAGUUCAGACUGUUAGAGAUUUACUUGAAUGAAGACGAAGUAUAUUAACAUUUAAAAAUAGUUAUUUCAACAAUAGAAAAUAUAUAUAAAGGAAACAAUAAGAUAAAAGAUAAAAAUAAACAAUAAUGAAACAAUAAGAUAAACAAACAAUAAUGAUAAAGCACUUAGAAAAUUUUUGUCUAAAGAAAAUGCAGCUAGAAUAUCCAAAAUUAAUAAAUACUUAGAAGGAACAAAUAAAUUUCCUAUUCUAAUUUUAAAAAGAAGGGGGAGGCAUUUUACAUGUGAUCCAUGAACAUAUCCUGAGAAAGAUCAAUGUUUCUUCCUUUUGUUGUUCUUUUUGUAGAAAUUUUCUGAUGGCACACUCUAUUGACAAAUAUAUUGACAAUUGGACAAAGAAUGAAGUGCUAGUUGUAGAAGUAAUAGAAGAGGAAGUUGAAGUAUGAAGUGAAGUCUUUCAUUAGAGAUUGCCUUAGGUUUUUUUCUCUGUCAGAUUUUCAUCAUAUCAGUGGAGAGAGAGAAUCAGAUUUAUUGUUGACCUUAUUUUAAUCAAAUUAUACAGUACCUCCUUUCUUCCAGUAGGAUUGGCAGAGGGACAUUGCUGAUACAGUGAUUCAUAGUCUUAUUUGUUCUUCAGGUUCCCUAAUCUGGACCAUGUGCAACUGUGUGAAAUUAGAUCAUCAUUUCCUCUCUCAAGGCAUUGUUCAUGGGUUGUUUGACAAUUAUAAAAUUCUCUUCUCUCUCCUCCAAUCUGAAAGGGAAGGGGAGAGAAAGGAGUUUUAUAACUGUUGUUUUGAAUUCAAUCAAAGUAAGCUAAACUUUUCCUCAAUUGAAUUCAUUAGUUUAAAAUUUGAAGUGAAAUUAUUAUUUU
rnacentral:lncRNA from 1 species